GUGAUAACUUUUUCAGUAACACAUCCAUAUUAUUAUCCACAGGAAAUAUUACAACUAUUUAUAAAAAAACAUGCAAACCUGAUUAUUUUAGUAUUAUUGUAGUCAAUCAUAUUCAUUUUAAGUUUAUUUGUUUGAGUUGUUAGGUACAUAACACAUUUUCAUGCUGGACUGCGCGUCGUUAACGCCCUCUUUUCUCUUGCGGGCCUGUGAUUGGGUGGACCUUCACAGUAUUUAAAAUACUCGACGAUGAUUGGAUAGUCCCUUACGCAAGCGCUUAUGUAAAGCGUCUGCAGUGAAGUUGUGCAAGGAAGGAGUGAAUACACAUAGUAUAAAAAAGAAAUCACACAUAAUUUCCCAAGCUUUUGAGUCAAGCCACAUACUGGAAAUUCUGAAAUUCUGAGCGAGGAGAUGAGGAUGCGGUGGGCGUGUCUUCUCGGUUUGUCUCUCAAGUACAGUCCAUGUUCUCCAUCACCACAGAUACGGUUCUGCCUCCAGAUGCUCCUCAAGUUGAUGCUUUGAGGAGAGAUAUUCACACAGUCAACACAAACAGCCACUGUGUUGGGGCCGAAGGUUCUCCGUGAGAAAUGAAAGCUCAUGAUGAAGGACCAUGAGAGGAAGCUCUGGCUCUUGAGGACUCGUUUCUGCUCUGACGCGGCGGUAUGAGUACAAAGCAUGAACGAUUAGCACACUAUGAAAUAAAACACAACACAAUAAAGUCAUAAAUCGUACCCGUGGAAUAAGAUGGCAGUAUCUAGGGAAUGUAUAAAAUAUCUGGGGUCAGAUGUCAGUCCUUGACAUCUCUGUAGUCUAAAAUCUGACUUCUGUUUAAUAGAGUAAAAGUGCUAAUGAGCAGAAGGAUGAUCAAUCAUGAAGAUGGAAGACUGUUGAGUGCCGUUCGGCAGCUACAUCACAGGCGUUUGUGAGUGAGAUUGCAUAUUACAGUGACAGAAGCUCAUGUGCACUUCACCCAGAAUGCUACAGCGAGUGACUGGAGGAUGUGCAACAUCUGCGAGAGGAUGGUGGUAAUGACUGAGGUAAUGACGUGCUGCUGAUCCAACAGCGGAUGUGUCUCGUGGAGGCAGUGCAUGUCAGGUGUGUUUGUGUUUGGCGAUGCUGAGCGGUCGCUCAGGCGUGAGUGUGUGUGAGUGUGUGUGUGUGAAUCAUCGUCCGCUGCUGCUGGUUGUGCUGCUUCCUGAGCUCGAAGCACUGGAGCCGCGAUCCUCGUACACACUGAUCUCAAUCUAACACACGCUGGGGUUAAGGGAGCAACAUCACAGCGUCACACAACCUUACAUGCACUAACUAAAGACAUAACUUUACACAUACAUGCUUUUAAUACUUGCCAUGAUUAUGAGUAAACUGCAUGUCAAAUUUAGUCUUAUUUUAAUAUCGUUUUUGUUAAUAUUUUGAAUUCGAUUUUAUUUUUACAUUUUCUGUUUCCAUUCAAAAUGUAUAUAAAGUUUUAGAAAUGUU